AUUGAACGCUGGCGGCAGGCCUAACACAUGCAAGUCGAACGGAAACAGGAAGAUGUUUGCUGCUUUGCUGACGAGUGGCGGACGGGUGAGAAAUGUGUGGGAAACCCCCGGAUGUGGGGGGAUAACUACUGGAAACGGUAACUAAUAGCGCAUAACGUCUCAAGACCAAAGAGGGGGGGCUUGUGGCGUCUGGCCAUGGGAGACGCCCAGAUUGGAUUCUCGAGGAGGUGGGGUAACGGUUCACAUAGGCGACGAUGCGUAGCUGAUGGGAGAGGCUGAGCGGCCACACUGGAACUGAGCCACCGACCAGACUCCUAAGGUAGGCAGCAGUGGGGAAUAUUGCGCAAUGGGCGCAAGCCUGAUGCAGCCAUGCCGCGUGUAUGACGAAGGCCUUGGGGUUGUAAAGUCCUCUCAGCGGGGAGGAAGCGAGUACAGUUGAUACCUUUGCUCAUUGACGUUACCCGCAGAAGAAGCACCGGCUAACUACGUG
rnacentral:rRNA from 1 species